rnacentral:snRNA from 1 species
GUGCUCACUCCGACAUCAUAUAUACUAAAAUUGGAACGAUACAGAGAAGAUUAGCGUGGCCCCUGCGCCAGGAUGACAUGCAAAUUCGUGAAGCGUUCCAUAAAAAA